UACGUAGGGUGCGAGCGUUAAUCGGAAUUACUGGGCGUAAAGCGUGCGCAGGCGGUUUUGUAAGACAGAGGUGAAAUCCCCGGGCUUAACCUGGGAACUGCCUUUGUGACUGCAAGGCUUGAGUGCGGCAGAGGGGGAUGGAAUUCCGCGUGUAGCAGUGAAAUGCGUAGAUAUGCGGAGGAACACCGAUGGCGAAGGCAGUCCUCUGGGCCUGCACUGACGCUCAUGCACGAAAGCGUGGGGAGCAAACAGG
rnacentral:rRNA from 1 species